rnacentral:rRNA from 1 species
UACUAAAGUUGUUGCGGUUAAAAAGCUCGUAGUUGAAAUUGUGUCCUGCGGUGUCGGUCUACCGAUUGCGGUACGACAGGCACGUCUGCGGGGCUUCUCGCCGGUGCGUCCACCGCCGGCGUGCGUCGGUCGGCCUCACGGUCGGCCGCGCACCGAGGCGGGCCGUCGCGGCUGUUUACUUUGAACAAAUUAGAGUGCUCAAAGCGGGCUAACACUUGCCUGAAUAUUGUACGCAUGGAAUAAUAGAAUAGGACCUCGGUUCUGUUUUGUUGGCUUUCUGAUACCAGAGGUAAUGAUUAAUAGGGACAACUGGGGGCAUUCGUAUUGCGACGUUAGAGGUGAAAUUCUUGGAUCGUCGCAAGACGGACUAAAGCGAAAGCAUUUGCCAAAGGUGUUUUCAUUAAUCAAGAACGAAAGUUAGAGGUUCGAAGGCGAUUAGAUACCGCUGUAGUUCUAACCAUAAAUGAUGCCAGCCAGCGAUCCGCCGAAGUUUCAUAAUUUUAACCCGGUGGGCAGCUCCCGGGAAACCAAAGCUUUC